rnacentral:rRNA from 1 species
GGGUUGUGAGGUUAAGCGACUAAGCGUACACGGUGGAUGCCCUGGCAGUCAGAGGCGAUGAAGGGCGUACUAAUCUGCGAUAAGCGCCGGUAAGGUGAUAUGAACCGUUAUAACCGGCGAUACCCGAAUGGGGAAACCCAGUGUGAUUCGUCACACUAUCAUUAACUGAAUCCAUAGGUUAAUGAGGCGAACCGGGGGAACUGAAACAUCUAAGUACCCCGAGGAAAAGAAAUCAACCGAGAUUCCCCCAGUAGCGGCGAGCGAACGGGGAGGAGCCCAGAGCCUGAAUCAGCAUGUGUGUUAGUGGAAGCGUCUGGAAAGGCGCGCGAUACAGGGUGACAGCCCCGUACACAAAAGCGCAUGUGCUGUGAGCUCGAUGAGUAGGGCGGGACACGUGGUAUCCUGUCUGAAUAUGGGGGGACCAUCCUCCAAGGCUAAAUACUCCUGACUGACCGAUAGUGAACCAGUACCGUGAGGGAAAGGCGAAAAGAACCCCGGCGAGGGGAGUGAAAAAGAACCUGAAACCGUGUACGUACAAGCAGUGGGAGCCCCACCACCAAAGCAUUUGCUGUACCGCGUUGACGGAGCGAAGCGACGUCAAACCG